GGACGCUUCCGCUCCCGGGGGAAUCUUCUUCAUGAAAUGGAGGUCUAUCUAGAUGGACACAGGAUAGAAUAUGCCAACGUUUAGCGGAGCAUUUUACGACUGAAGUCUUAAUAUAGCAUUUUACUGUAUUAGUAUCUCAACUCCUCAAUUCAAAAGAAGAGUAUUCAUGGAUGGCACGUUUCGUCACAAUAUUGUUUUGAAUAUUUGUUUUAAGACUGAUGCCCAACUGAGAAUUCUACUCAACGCAUUGUCAGUGGGUACUGUCUAAAAUGCAUUACUGUGGCUUGGAAACACGAUGACGUUUCAAAAGUAGGCAAACAAUUAGUAGGGAAACCUUUUGUUAUCAUUGUGAUGUCGCCAGAUUGACUUUAAAUGCAGUAUAACUUUAGUUAGCUAGCUAGAAUUGAGGGGACAGCGCCGAAUUUUAGCUAGUUGACAUUACCAUUGCUAGCUAUUUUUGACAAACUUCGAUAGCUAAUGGCAACAUUGCCAUCUCUUUAAAGUAAAUUUGACCACAUCAUAAUCAUGCAAACGUUGUUUCCUACUAAUAAUUUGCCUACUUUAGCAAUGUCAUCAUAUAUCGAGGCCACGUUAGUGUAAUUUUAACGAAACAGUCAUUAGUUCCUGUUAUGUGUGGGCACCAGUCGCCUUAAUGGCACAGGUGUUGUAAGAAUGCUCAUAACAAUGGCAUGACGUAACCGAGUGAUGAAGGUGCAACCCAUAAUAAAUAGUGACACAUCCAUCCAGACCUGAGCCUGCCUGGCUGCCUGCAAACUGAUCCUCCUGUCUCUGUUCUGCUGUGAUCCUAUCUGCCUGCUAUGGAGCCGCACUGCGUCAAAUGGAAGUGAGGACCUGAGCCCUAGGACCAUGCCUCAGGACUACCUGGCAUGAUGACUCCUUGCUGUCCCCAGUCCACCUGGCCGUGCUGCUGCUCCAGUUUCAACUGUUCUGCCUGCGGCUAUGGAAUCAUGACCUGUUCACCGGACGUGCUACCUGUCCCAGACCUAUUAUUUGACCAUGCUGGUCAUUUCUGAACAUUUGAACAUCUUGGCCAUGUUCUGUUAUAAUCUCCACCCGGCACAGCCAGAAGAGGACUGGCCACCCCUCAUAGCCUGGUUCCUCUCUAGGUUUCUUCCUAGGUUUUGGCCUUUCUAGGGAGUUUUUCCUAGCCACCGUGCUCCAACACCUGCAUUGCUUGCUGUUUGGGGUUUUAGGCUGGGUUUCUGUACAGCACUUUGAGAUAUCGGCUGAUGUACGAAGGGCUAUAUAAAUACAUUUGAUUAGAUUUUGAUUUGAAUAGAGGUGCUAUUGUUAAAGUGUACAGUCCAAAUACAGGCCUAAGUAUGUUAAAUAGGCAUGUUAAAUCUAGAACAUCCGUAGAACACUCUCUAUUAAGCUUCUUUGUCCCAAAAAAUAUUUGGUUGCAUUUUAUUUAUGGCUUUAUUCAACCACAUUAGACAGUCUUAAAUACAUUGGUAUCAGGUCACAGACAAAUGGUUACUGACAAAAGGUUAGGAUUUAGAGGUAAGGGAGACUGCUGUUGUCCCAGUCUAAUCUACAGUGCUAAUGGCAGUGUUGGUGAGAUGACUGUUUUGCUAUAGAGUGGUUAUAAUGGUUUAAAUCCUAAUCCACAAAAAGAGGACUUUUGUGGAUCAAAAAAGCAACAAGUACAAACAAAUGAAAAUGGAACAGAUUAUUUUUAAUGUUCAUACACCCGUCAACUGGAACAGCUGGUGUGUUAAGUGCAGUAUGUGGCAGUGUUGUACGUUAGUGAGUUCAAGGCCUAUAUUCAUAAAGUGUCUCAGAGUUGGAGUGCUGAUCUAGGAUCAGUUUGGCCUUUUAAAUCAUAAUGAAUGAGAGGGAGGGACCUGAUCCUAGAUCAGCACUCUUACUCUGAGAUUCUUUGAGAAUACGGGCCCAGAAUGUCUUACUGUACCUUACUGAAGUCCACAGCACUGUUCUCUCUGCUGACAUCAGCUUUGCCGUCAUUGGGGAUGGGUAGAGAGGUCUGGGGAGGAAUCACCUGACCUGGAACAAAAAGACAGGAAGGAGUCCAAUAAGUCAACUACUGAGCCCUCUAUAUCAGACCAACAUCAAGGUUUCACAGCAGUGCAGGAGCCAAUGGUAAUAAAGCACAAUGUCUCACAGAGAGAGAGAGUGAGAGAGAGAGAGAGAGAGAGAGAGAGAGAGCGCACACUCUUGGGAUACCAAAAUGACCAACAGUGCUUUAGAUAUCUAUAGAUUUGCACUGUAAUGGUGAUGUAAUCUGGGAUUUAUCAGACAUUGGCAAAGUACCCUUAUUUAGUGCAGAUCCCAAGAGAGGACUGAAGAUAAAGCCUAAGAGUGGCUGCGUGGGGGAGGAUGGGAGUCAUGGAUGGCCUUGGUGAGGAUGGGUGGGCCAAGCUUGUCCAUUAGGAUUUCAGCAUGAUCAUUUUAGCAUUAUCAUUGUGUCAAGGAGACUGAUGAAAACAGGAAAUUAGCCCAGAGCUGCCAGAGUAGAGCAAAAGGAUUUAAAUCGGAAGGAUUACUUUUUAUUUGUGAGAGGGCACAGAUUAAUACUAAUUUCAGUGUUUGAUCUGUUCACAAGCCAGCAGAAACUAUCAGAUGCAUAACAAAUCGAAAUAAUCAGAAAUAAAAGCAUGCCUUGCAAUGAUU